UUUUCUGGAAAAAGGUAUGUUACUGCUGAUAUACUUUUCCUUUUCUUCCUGUUUGUGAUGCAGGUAUGAAGUCAUGGUGCUUAGAGAUACUUCACCUAUCCUGUGAAUAAGAAACGACAAAACAUACAUAUAAAAACAUGGCAGUCUGACAGAUGGAAAAAGCCCUCAGGCAGACAUGGAAAACUUGAGGGGAAGGAGGAAGAGAAAAAGAACAUAGGGUGUAUCUUCUAUUCAUUGGCGGCAUUCCUCUCCUCUUGCAAGGAGCAUGGGUCUGUAGGAAGAGUGUAAACUCCACCAUGAGAAAGGAAUUUAUGUUGUUGUUGGAGGUACCAAGAAAUUGGAGAGGCCAUUUCAUAAAAUAGUUGGGAAUUUGAAGAGCAAUUGACCUUCAAGAAUCCCUGAACUCAUGGAUCUGGGAGAAGGUAUUAUGUUUUCCAACUGGUC
rnacentral:lncRNA from 1 species